rnacentral:rRNA from 1 species
CGUAGGUAACCUGCCCUGGAGCGGGGGAUAACAUUUGGAAACAGAUGCUAAUACCGCAUAACAACAAAAGCCACAUGGCUUUUGUUUGAAAGAUGGCUUUGGCUAUCACUCUGGGAUGGACCUGCGGUGCAUUAGCUAGUUGGUAAGGUAACGGCUUACCAAGGCGAUGAUGCAUAGCCGAGUUGAGAGACUGAUCGGCCACAAUGGAACUGAGACACGGUCCCUACUCCUACGGGAGGCAGCAG